UACGUAGGGUGCGAGCGUUGUCCGGAUUUAUUGGGCGUAAAGGGCUCGUAGGCGGCGUGUCGCGUCGGGAGUGAAAGCCCGUUGCUUAACGGCGGGUUGGCUUUCGGUACGGGCAUGCUGGAGUGCGGCAGGGGAGACUGGAAUUCCUGGUGUAGCGGUGGAAUGCGCAGAUAUCAGGAGGAACACCGGUGGCGAAGGCGAUCACCUGGGGUUGUUCUGACGCUGAGGAGCGAAAGCUAGGGGAGCAAACGGG
rnacentral:rRNA from 1 species